GAUAUUCUAAUAAUAUAUAUUGAUACUGGAUCCCAUUUCGAAUUCCGGAGUAAAACAUAUAUAUUUCAUAUAUAGCAUAAAUGUUGUGAAACGUGAUUAUGGUAUU
rnacentral:rRNA from 1 species